GGGUAGUCCACCGACUUGGAAGCCGACUUAGUCCUCCUCGAGAUAUUAAACGACACACCUCCGGGGGUGAACGAGACCGCGUUCCAGUCCAGAGCCCUGACGUCCGACACCCUCUUACACGAAAGUAGACACAGGAGCAUGACCAGUUUCCAUGAUAACUGCUUGAGUGUCAAGUCCUCAUUACAGGGCCAGGAGUCCAAGAAUCCAAGGACGACGUUAACGUCCCAAAACGAUGAGUAUCUAGAUCUUGGCGGUCUAGCAAAACGGAUACCUUUCAACAAGCGGCACACGAUAGGAUGUUGUCCGAUCGGAGAUCCGUCUAUCCCUUGAUGUCCGGCCGAAAUGGCUGAUCUAUAGACAUUAAGGGUACGAUAAGCCAAACCAGAAUCGAAACGUUCCGUCAGGAAAUCAAGCAGCGCAUUUAGAGGGGCAGAAAGUGGAUCCAGCAAUCUUCCCAAGCACCAGCCAGACCACACCCGCCAUGCGGUCCUGUAAGCCGCUCUGGUACCUGGUGCCCAGGCAUUCUCCAAUAGUCGAGCAGUUGUCUGCGAAACGUCCGUGACACACCAGGGUCUCCCGAGAUUAGCCAAGCCGUGAGUUGAAGUAAG